rnacentral:rRNA from 1 species
AAAUUGAAGAGUUUGAUCAUGGCUCAGAUUGAACGCUGGCGGCAGGCCUAACACAUGCAAGUCGAACGGUAACAGGAAGCAGCUUGCUGCUUUGCUGACAAGUGGCGGACGGGUGAGUAAUGUCUGGGAAACUGCCUGAUGGAGGGGGAUAACUACUGGAAACGGUAGCUAAUACCGCAUAACGUCGCAAGACCAAAGAGGGGGACCUUCGGGCCUCUUGCCAUUGGAUGUGCCCAGAUGGGAUUAGCUAGUAGGUGGGGUAACGGCUCACCUAGGCGACGAUCCCUAGCUGGUCUGAGAGGAUGACCAGCCACACUGGAA